ensembl:lncRNA
GCAGCAAGGAGUAUUUAUUACUUUGAAUAAAAUGUACAUUAAACCUUUAUAUAAAAAUCAUCAAAAGUGCUAUACAUGAUUAUUUUAAUAUUAACUUAACCCCCACAUCAUCUAUCAGCUAUACUUUUUAUUUUAUUUCUGACUCAUCAUUAGAAUCACCUAAAACUGUCCAAUGUUACAAUAUAAAAAAUAUUAGUUUAUUUUUCAAGGUAAAGUACCACCAGUGAUGAGUUACGGAAAGUGAGAAAUAAAACGAAACACCAGCGAACCAACAUAUGGAAACAUAUUAUCCUAGAAUUUCCUAUGAGUAUGUCAAGUCCAAGGCAAUGUAGACCUUCAGCAGAACAUUUUUAUAAUACAGCUUCUUAAAGAGCGCAGGUUAUUUCUUUUGGAGGCAGGCAUCUCUUGUCCCAGGACUAUCUCAUUAUUUUCUCAUCACUCCUUGGCUACUUCCCAAAGUGAACCAAACACGGCCCUAAUGCUGUGUAUGUCCUAUGCCCCCGGCAAAGUGUAUAACAUAAAGAGAAAGCUGAUUCUUCUGUCUUAGUAAACAGCCCUUAGGAAUAAGUUUGUCAUUAAAGAAGGCAUUCACAAAGCAGACAUUAAAGAAGACAGGUCGUUCCUCACAAAUGAGGACUACAUCCAGCCUUCCCCUUCAACCCACCCCCAUUUUUCUAGUCUACUCCAAAGCCAGAUCAUCCCCUCCCCGGCCGGUCCUGGAUGAAUGGGCUGACUGAGUCACAGCAGGUUUUCCUUCCGCAUUUCCCAUUUGGUCUCAUUCAGUCUUAAGCAAACAAGCUUCUUUGAUUGGCCACCAGAGCUGUCUGACUCUCCCGUCGCUUGGCUUUCUUUCUCCUUUGUCUCACCUUCCAGCACAAGGCGCUGGAAGCUAACAGGAAAAGUCCAGAGGAGAGAAGAACCAGGCCCAAGAUGGAGAUAAUGGAGCCGUGGGAAUUGAAGCUGUAAGCCACGGCGGUGACCACUAUCCCUGUGAUGAAGACCACCACGGCGAAGGGGAUGAUGCAGCGGUAGCAGGAGAGCUCAGCACCCCCCUGUCGCAGCCAUCAGCUGGACCUCACUGACCAGGGGGACUGUGGUGACCACCACUUCGCUCUUGGGGUUUUUCUCCAUCGGCGCUGGCGUGGGAGACUUUGGGACUCCGGGCUCUCUUUUACAGGCUCUUCAGUCAUUUUUACAGCGGUUCUUCCUAGCUAGGUUUACAGACUAGAGCUCCAGAGUCUCCCCAGGGUAGAAGCUGUGGAGAAGACAGGAAAUAGUAUCACCUCACUGAAUCAGCAUGAGCCCUGCCUGUGGAAGGAAGGAGAAGCACUUCCCUUCCUGAUGGAUCAAUGCAUGUGCAAAUCAACUUCACUUUUUUCAAAUCGGUUGCAUUCCCUUGGCAUUUGAGCAAAAAAAGCUAGAUGAAGCUGUUAAACAUAAAAAGGAAAAGACAUUAAAAGCAAGAAACCUUUUUCAGUGUUUUAAUAUGCUCUGGCAGUCUGCGAUGUUUUAUAAGCUUUUUCACUUUAUUCAUUGCUUCUCUUUUCUCUAAACUCAGAAAGGCCUGAAUCUGAAUCCAAAGAGGGCCUCAUUCAAGAGGAGAGCACAUUAUAAAACAGUUCAUCCCAUAACUCAUAGCAAUUUCAACUCUGCCAGUUUUGCCGGGCAUAACACACAUUCUUUCCAAACCAUCACUCAUUCUCUGCUCACGGAAUCGAUGUCAAGACCAGCAGCCAGCAUACAAAUGAUGCUCUUCCCCAUCGCCUGACUGCCAACAAGUCUUAACUGUGUUACUAUUAAACACGGUGCAGUUUGCAUUUAGAACCUUUUUAUCCCCGCCCCCCACCACCCCAAGUGGCAGAUGGGCAGUUCAGAAAAAAGUCAAUGAGGUAAAGAUCUGUUAUCAGAAAUGUGGCAAUACCACCCCUGUCCAUCUGAAAGGGGAAAAACAAAGACAAAGAUCCAACAGCUUCCUAGAGAAUAAUUUUGUGUGUUUGUUUUUCAAGUUGAUGAUAAAAAUCAACUCUUUGCUUUUAAUUUACAAAUUCUAUCUCAAACUCAGCAAGGAAUUUUGCUAUUAUGUACACAACGAUGUGUUUAAAUAAGCAUGCUAGAUAGUAAAAUUUGACAGUUAUUCCUUCCCGUGUCUUUAUGUAUAAAACUUGUCACAAAACAAAAACAAAAACAAAAAUUUGUUGCUUUCUAAAUAUUUUCAACCUGAAAACUUCAGGAAAAACCUUGAUCAAAAGCAUCUGGCUAAAAUGCUCCUAUGAGAAAUCAGUGAAGUCUUGUCCCUGAUCCCAUAUGUUGUCACUGUUUUGCAUCCUAGAGAAUUUGAGCAGUCAUAGUGACCCAGAGUUUCCAGGAAGAUACUGGAGGUGAUUUUAAUGAGAUUAAUCUAUUGAACAUAUUAAGCAUCAAUUGAAAAUUAAUGCAACCUCAAAUCAAAUAUCGCUGGUUCUUCCCAACCCUGGUUGAUCAAAAUACCACUCCCUGAGCAAUGAAACUGUUACAGCAGCCUGCUUGUUUGUAAAUUCUAAUCAACAGAUUAAAUCACUGUUGUUCAAUGACACUAUAAAUCUUGCUAGGCCAGUUAGAGGAUAUUUGAUAUCAUUUCUGCAGACUAAAAAAACAAAAACAAAAACAAAAAAGAAAUUCUUCCCAAAGCUGCAGUUGUGCUAACCUGAAAAGCUCUGUCUCGAAGCUACUUACAGUACCUUGGAAGGAGGUUGUCCAUUACCAGGGAAACCACUGGGCUCGGAGGAGGGGAAGAAUCAGCCACAGCUGCGGGUCUUCCUUUAACUUCUGAGAAAGAGCGAGCCUGUCAUAGCAAUGUGGUCAGGAAAAUGACAGGUCAGACAGGGAUCUCCUAGAGGGAAAAGAAAAAAGUACACAAAGACUCCACUGUAGGUUUGGUUUUGAAUCCUGGAGGUCUCUCUUCUUUCAGGCUACCUCUCCACCUAAGUGACGCUUGUCUUUCCUUCUCUCUCUUUUAUCCCUCCCCCUCCGGUCUGCCCCUCCCUAUCUUUUUUCCCCUAGUUCUUUUCCUUGCCAGCAGAUUCCGAGUUCUGCUUCCCCAGACUCUGCUCCGUGACACCAAAAGUUAGGAUCAUUUCCACAGCGUCUCCAGAGACAAAGGCUAGCUUUUACGUUUAUUUCUCUUGCAGCGUUUAGAAGCAGGCUGCUUUGAAUUACUCAUUUUCCCCCAGCCAACCUCCAGAUCUUCCUCCCACCACCCAUCAGGCGUUUUCAGGAGAGAAUCCCAGAGUCAGCGAAGCAGACCCAGCUGAGGGAGGAGACAGAGCCGCAGGGCAGACGCUCCAGGGAGGCACAGAGGGGCAGAGCCCAGGGCAGAAACUCCGGGGAGGCACAGAAUUAGCAGUGAAAUCAGCCUGUACAUCAGCAGAAAGCCACAUUCCUGGGUCGUGUCUAUAUGGUCAUCUGAAGCUUAUCACUCACGCCACCCCCGUUUGCUAUUAAUUCAUUUAGGAAUGAGGAUGGGGAAUGCUAAUGUUUGUGGUUAAGGGAAAAAAACCAGUCAGCUUAACUGAAACAAGAUUGUUGUAGUAAGGAUGUAGUAACUUUGGCAGCUCUGAAAUCCUCAUCAUUGUCAUCAUUAACAUCACCGCCAUUUAAAGAGCAUGGCUUAAUGUUAAGAAAUACUGCACAAUGGGGCUGGAGAUUUAGCUCAGUGGUUCCAGUGCCUGCCUUGUAAGAGCAAGGUCUGAAGUUUGAUCCCUGGUACCCCCCCCCCCAAAUACUGCACACUAACAUUAAUUUUC